CUGUUUAAAGGCGGGGACCCGCAAGGGCCUGUCGCUUGAAGUUGAGCCCGCGUCCUAUCAGCUUGUUGGUGAGGUAACGGCCCACCAAGGCUUACGGGUAGCUGGUCUGAGAGGAUGGUCAGCCACACUGGGACUGAGAUACUGCCCAGACUCCUACGGGAGGCUGCAGUCGAGGAUCAUUUGCAAUGGGCGCAAGCCUGACAAUGCGACGCUGCGUGGAGGAUGAAGGCCUUCGGGUUGUAAACUCCUGUCAUUUGGGAACAAUAUCGGGAGGGCGAAUAUCCCUUCCGGUUGAUGGUACCAGAAGAGGAAGUCACGGCUAACUCUGUGCCAGCAGCCGCGGUGAUACAGAGGUGG
rnacentral:rRNA from 1 species